AGCUGUCCAUAUGCAGAUAUCUGUGAAAAAAAAUGUGAACUAUUUUGUAGCAUUGAAGAAUUUCAUUCCAUUUCAUCACCUGCUGCUUCCUGUCUAAGACUUACCAGAGAUGGAUGGCAGUGUCCAGAAACCAUUUUCUUACUCUGCUUAUCUUGUUUGCUUAAACUCUGGCCUGGAGGGGCCUACCUUUCCCUUGAGGAAGCCUAGGAUUUUCACCUGAUUUUG
rnacentral:lncRNA from 1 species